rnacentral:misc_RNA from 1 species
GAUGAAGGAACGCAGCGAAAUGCGAUAAGUAAUGUGAAUUGCAGAAUUCAGUGAAUCAUCGAAUCUUUGAACGCACAUUGCGCCCCUUGGUAUUCCGAGGGGCAUGCCUGUUCGAGCGUCAUUAUCACCCCUCAAGCUUUGCUUGGUGUUGGGGCCUGCUGUAAUAGGCAGCCCUUAAAAUCAGUGGCGGUGCUUCAAGGCUCUAAGCGUAGUAAUUCUCCUCGCUAUAGUGUCUAGUGGUUGCCAGCCAGAACCCCCCAAUUUUCAUGAUUGACCUCGGAUCAGGUAGGGAUACCCGCUGAACUUAAGCAUAUCAAUAAGCGGAGGA